GACGAACGCUGGCGGCGUGCUUAACACAUGCAAGUCGAACGAAGAGCGAUGGGAGCUUGCUUCUAUCAAUCUUAGUGGCGAACGGGUGAGUAACGCGUAAUCAACCUGCCCUUCAGAGGGGGACAACAGUUGGAAACGACUGCUAAUACCGCAUACGAUCCAAUCUCGGCAUCGGGACUGGAUGAAAGGUGGCCUCUAUUUAUAAGCUAUCACUGAAGGAGGGGAUUGCGUCUGAUUAGCUAGUUGGAGGGGUAACGGCCCACCAAGGCGAUGAUCAGUAGCCGGUCUGAGAGGAUGAGCGGCCACAUUGGGACUGAGACACGGCCCAGACUCCUACGGGAGGCAGCAGUGGGGAAUCUUCCGCAAUGGACGAAAGUCUGACGGAGCAACGCCGCGUGAGUGAUGACGGCCUUCGGGUUGUAAAGCUCUGUUAAUCGGGACGAAUGGUUCUUGUGCGAAUAGUGCGAGGAUUUGACGGUACCGGAAUAGAAAGCCACGGCUAACUACGUG
rnacentral:rRNA from 1 species